rnacentral:lncRNA from 1 species
UAGCCAUGAUAGAUUCUAAUUCGAAUUUCUCAGACUUCGUCCAUGGCUGAACUUCCCCAAGGACAGAUUUCUACAGCAACCCAACUCCACCCAUAUUUCUACGGCGGUCGACCGCCUUUCUAAUUUCAGCCGAGCUCCUACGGGAGCCGGACCUCUGCCCCGAAUUUCUAUUGCAGGUAGACUUCAUCCGAGCCACUAUUACAAACGGUCUACUCCGAACUCCCACCAUAAAUGGUCUACUCCGAGCUUCUAUUACAAGCAACCUACUCUG